CAAGUACUUUGUAAACAGUAAAAUUUAAUGUCGAUAUUCAGGUUCAUAAAUCUCUCAUAUAGUGUGUAAAUAUGUUUUCUGGUUCAGUGGAGACGUUAGUUGGUGCAGCUGCAACAUACCUACUGAUUUGUUACGCUCAUAUAUCUCUUGUUUAUUAUAAUUGGUGAGCUCUGAUAAGUACUGUGUUUUCGUGAAAUUAAUUUGUUCCCGGGCGGAUACCGAUAAACACAUGGAUGUAAAGUCUUGACACAUCACCUUGUUAAAACUGUCAUGAGAAA
rnacentral:lncRNA from 1 species